rnacentral:lncRNA from 1 species
GGAGGUGGGACUUCCUGUUCUGGCCUGUCAAUGGGGAGGUGGGACUUCCUGUUUUGCUCUAUACGAGGUGGGACUUCCUGUUCUGCUCCAUAUGAGGUGGGACUUCCUGUUUUCCUCAGUCCAUGGGGAGGUGGGACUUCCUGUUCUGCUCUGUAUGGGAUGGGAUUUCCUGUUUUCCUCAGUCUGUGGGAAGGUGGGACUUCCUGUUUUGCUCCUUAGGGGAGGUGGGACUUCCUGUUUUGCUCCUUAGGGGGGUAGGACUUCCUGCUCUGCUCCAUAGGGGAGGGACUUCCUCUUUUGCUCUGCAUGGGGGGUGGGACUUCCUGUUUUCCUCAGUCCACGGGGAGAUGGGACUUCCUGUUUUGUUCCAUAGGGGAGAUGGGACUUCCUGUUUAACUCAAUGGGGAGGUGGGACUUCCUGUUUUGCUCCAUAUUGGGGAGGUGGGGACUUCCUGUUCUGCCCUGUAUGGGGCGGGUUUUCCUGUUUUCCUCAGUCUGUGGGAAGGUGGGACUUCCUGUUCUGCUCCGUAAGGGAGGUGGCAUUUCCUCUUCUGCUCUAUACGGGGUGGGACUUCCUGUUCUGCUCCAUAGGAGAUUCGGGACUUCCUGUUCUGCUUCAUAAGAGAGGUGGGACUUCCUGUUUUGCUCCACGGGGGGGGUGGGGACUUCCUGUUCUGCUCUUUAUGGGGUGGGAUUUCCUUUCCUCAGUCCGUGGGAAGGUGGGACUUCCUGUUCUGCUCCAUGGGGGAGGUGGGACUUCCUGUUUUGCUCUAUAUGGGGUGGGACUUCCUGUUUUGCUCCAUUGGGGAGAUGAAUUUCCUGUGUUUUUCCACAGGAGAGAUCAAACUUCCUGUUUUGCUCCAUAGGGGAGGUGGGACUUCCUGCUCUGCUCUAUAUGGGGUGGAACUUCCUGUUUUCCUCAGUCCGUGGGGAGGUGGGAUUUCCUGUUCUGCUCCAUAGGGGAGGUGGGACUUCCUGUUCUGCUCUAUAUGGGGUGGAACUUCAUGUUUUCCUCAGUCCGUGGGGAGGUGGGAUUUCCUGUUCUGCUCCAUAGGGGAGGUGGGACUUCCUGUUCUGCUCUAUAUGGGGUGGAACUUCCUGUUUUCCUCAGUCCGUGGGGAGGUGGGACUUCCUGUUUUGCUCCAUAGGGGAGGUGGGACUUCCUGUUAUCACCUCCCAGGCAAAGACCCCACAGUUGGGGGCUGCGCUAUGGGGCUGGCUGCUAUGGGGCUGGGUGCUAUGGGGCUCUAUGGGGUCCUGGGUGCUAUGGGACUCUAUGGGGCUCUAUGGGGCUCUAUGGGACUCUAUGGGGCUCUAGGUGCUAUGGGUGCUAUGGGGCUCUAUAGGGCCCUAGGUGCUAUGGGGCUCUAUGGGGUCCUGGGUGCUAUGGGGCUCUCUGGGACUCUAUGGGGCUCUAUGGGGCACUAGUUGCUAUGGGGCUGGGUGCUAUGGGGUUCUAUGGGGCUCUAUGGGACUCUAUGGGGCUCUAUAGGGUUCUAUGGGGCCCUGGGUGCUAUGGGACUCUAUGGGACUCUAUAGGGCUCUAGGUGCUAUGGGUGCUAUGGGGCUGGGUGCUAUGGGGCUCUAUGGGACUCUAUGGGGUCUU